GGUACCAUGAAUUGAUUUUGCUUCACACUAUCUUGAUCAAGAUAGUGUGAAGCUUUUGAGAAUUUGUAGUUGUCCUCCAUUGAUGAAGCUUUUGUUGGUGAAGCUUUGUUGGGUAUCUUGAUCAAGAUAGUGUGAAGCUUUUGAGAAUUUGUAGUUGUCCUCCAUUGAUGAAGCUCUUGUGGUGAAACUUUGUUGAAUUUCCCAAUUUCCUUUCUUUUUUUUUCUUCUUUUUUUUUCGGGAAAAUUAGAAAUUUGAAAAUGUGGGAGAGACAACAUAUACAAAUUUUGCUUCCACACUGUUGAGCAAGAGAUUGUGAUGCAAGCCACACCUUGUAGUAGUCGAAGGUUUGGAUAAACCAUAUAAAUUGAAUUUGCUUCGAACAGUCUUGAUCAAGAGUGUGUGAAGCUUUUGAGAAUUGUGGUUGAACUCCUUUGAUGAGGCUUUUGUUGGCACCAUAAAUUGGUUUUGCUUCACACUAUCUUGAUCAAGAGUGUGUGAAGCUUUUGAGAAUUGUGGUUGCCCUCCAUUGAUGAAGCUCUUGUUGGCACCACAAAAUUGGUUUUACUUCACACUGUCUUGAUCAAGAGUGUGCGAAGCUUUUGAGAAUUGUGGUUGCCCUCCAUUGAUGAAGCUCUUGUUGGCGCCAUAAAUUGGUUUUGCUUCACACUGUCUUGAUCAAGAGUGUGAAGCUUUUGAGAAUUGUGGUUGCCCUCCAUUGAUGAAGCUCUUGUUAGCACCAUAAAUUGGUUUUGCUUCACAUUGUCUUGAUCAAGAGUGUGUGAAGCUUUCUACGAGUUGUAGUGUUUGCAUUAUUACAGAGGGGAAAUGUCUGAAGCAGAUGUAAGAGGGUUGAAUAGCUUGAUCUUCGUAUGCCAUGCACUGAAGUUGUUGUUGGCUUGCAAUAAGACUUUGUUGGUAACUAUAACUCUUGUUGGGCAUAAGUGCUCCCCUAGUUGAGUUGUCAAGUUUGAGGGCAUGAAGGAAAGUACAGGUUGUACAUUUCAUCACCUGGUUGGUGGCAUAAAGAUGAGUUCCUUCUUCAUCUGGUUGGUGGCAUGAGUGGCAAGUUGCCAAAUGAUAUUAGAGUACGGGUUGUACAUUUCAUCACCUGGUUGGUGGCUUGAAGGAGAGUACGGGUUGUACAUUUCAUCACCUGGUUGGUGGCAUGAAGAUGAGUUCCUUCUUCACCUGGUUGGUGGCAUGAGUGGCAAGUUGCCAAAUGAUAUUAGAGUACGGGUGUACAUUUCAUCACCUGGUUGGUGGCAUGAAGAAGAGUAUGGGUUGUACAUUUCAUCACAUGGUUGGUGGCAUGAAGAUGACUUCCUUCUUCACAUUUCAUCACCUGGUUGGUGAGAAUAACGAUAAGGUGUCGAGGCACAUUGUAGCAAGUGUCGAAGACACAAAGUAUGUUGAACCAUUUCGAAACACAUUUGGCUUAUGUAUAGAUGUGUUGGAAUGUAUGAUGUUUAUGUAUGAAUGUGUUGGAAUGUAUGAUGUUUAUGUAUGAAUGUGUUGGAAUGUAUAAUGUUUAUGUUGAUUGAUAUAAGUGAUGCUUAUGAAUGUUUUGCUAUGCAUGAAGGGAUCCAUGUUUUUGAUAUGUGAACCAUGUUGGUUGUAACACUUAGUAUCACAUACUUUGUGUCAAAGUACACAUGUUGAAGCUCUGAGUUGGAGUAUAAGGGUAGGUCAGCGUAGACCAAGUGUUCCAGUGCUAGGAACGCAAAAGACUCAGAAGAAGUUGUCUGAAUUCCCUCUUCUUUAAAUAUUUGUCGAAUUGCUUGUGUGACAAAAGAUCUUAAGCGGUUGAGAGUCAAAACAUUUGUAAUGUGUAUGCCUUCUUAUAAUAGCAUUUCCUUCAAUACCUAGUCUUCCACUUUGAAAGAGUGAAGCUUGGCCCCAUAGUUAUAAUAGUUGACGAUACGUUCACCCCUGGUUGUCUUGAUACGAACUUUUAUCCCUUUUAUUGUAAUGGGCUUGCUGAGAGUAAAAAUAUUUCCUCUUACCAAGAAACAAAUACGUUUGGUGACUUAGCGAGUAGCUAAAUGAGGCAGGAGAUGAUGCAAUGGGUGUCUGAAUGGCCAAUAUCUCCUCACUUGGUAGAACUUGACUUCCAUUUCCCAUUUGUUGAUAGGGGUUAACCAUAUGCGGGUUCCCUUGGUAUGUCCUUGCUUUGGCGGAGGCGUGGUUGUAAGCUUGUGCCAUCACCUCAGAGUAAGUCUUCCAAGUGUUGGCAUUGAUCAUGUACUUGAAGAAACA
rnacentral:lncRNA from 1 species